CUUUCCUCCUACUCAUGAUCAACACUGAGAACCGGACGCCUGUCUGGGGGGGAAGGGAGGCAGGAACCAAGACAGCAUGGAAGAGAGAGAGAAAGAUUCAGAGUUUUGUAGGCGUGGCAUCUUAACUACAAUUGAUUCAUUUGUCCGUUCACCACAAGCUACACCCAGGCAUGGAUCACUUUUAACCAAUUACUUGGAGUUCCAGCAAAAUAAUCCAGAAUGAAGGAAUGCAACAAUUGCAGUGUCACCUAUAGGACAAAUAAUUUAACUAUGAUGGAAGAGCAUUUCAUGCAGUCAGUCAUACAAGAAACCCAGUGACUACUCUAUCCAUCUGACAAUCCAUGGAUACUCACAAGAAAAGCUACUGCAGACUCCUCACAAACGGUAACACAUACAAAAAAUGCAAAGACAACAUAUCAGCCCAUGGAAAAGAACUUAGAGGGUGAACAACCUUUCUU